GCGGUAAUACGGAGGGUGCAAGCGUUAAUCGGAAUUACUGGGCGUAAAGCGCACGCAGGCGGUUUGUUAAGUCAGAUGUGAAAUCCCCGCGCUUAACGUGGGAACUGCAUUUGAAACUGGCAAGCUAGAGUCUUGUAGAGGGGGGUAGAAUUCCAGGUGUAGCGGUGAAAUGCGUAGAGAUCUGGAGGAAUACCGGUGGCGAAGGCGGCCCCCUGGACAAAGACUGACGCUCAGGUGCGAAAGCGUGGGGAGCAAACAGGAUUA
rnacentral:rRNA from 1 species